GACACCAAGUGCUGAGGUCCUGUCUCAGCCUCAUACAGACCAAUUGCUGGGAAGGCUGAUUUUGAAUGCAGGGCUGGCUGUAAAUAUGUUUGAGGGGCUCCAGGAUCUCCGUUCCUCCAAGAUCAGCCUCCAUCUCCUCAACUUUCUUCAGAGCCUCCUCCAUGGUCUUCUGGCUGUACUCCAC